ACACUUUUGGGAAGCACUGUGUUGUGAGUUAUUAAUUUUCGCCGUAAUUCGCGGCUGUUUUUGUUUCUUUUUUAAUGUUUUUUUGGUUGGUUGUACAUUUCCCCAGCGAUUGCUGGUCAUCUAUAAUUUUGAUAGCAAACACCAUGAUAGCCAACAUGCACACCAAUAGAUUGUAUAAUAAUGUGGCAUGGAAUGUGACUCAUCAGCAAAAUAAAGCAACCGAAACGGUAAACGAAUACAGUUUCAAUUGUUGAAUGGGGAUUGCAUAUUGAUUACCUCGAUUGGAUUCCGAUUUCACUGCAUUUCAUUUGCACUUUAAGGCUUUUUGCGAGAACACAAUCUAAAACAAAUUCUCCAGGGCUUCGACGCCGAUUCAGGUGUUUUUGUGGGAAAACUUAAAUUAAAAGUACAUGAAUUUUACUCGCUUUGGAUUUGAAAUUGCCUUCGGAUUGUGGAUUAAUUGACACAUCACACUUGGUCGCUUGGUCUGCAAUUAGCACUCACUUUCCGGCUCUUUGUGGGAUUAUCUUCUGCAAAUAUUGUGCCGCAGGCCGAGUGUUUAUCAGCCGGAGGAAGCCCAUACAAUGUGGACACUAGUACUCGAGGAGGAACAAAGGGAAUUUAUCUAUGUAUUCACAUACAGCGGUUGUAGGCCGGCGAGGGAGGCAAGCAGCCAGAAUGUAAUCAGCAACAGCUGUCAAUAAAUCAAGAAUGCACUUUU